AUACUUACCUAGUGAAGGUAACAGGACCGGAGAAGUAGCUGUUCCAGGGCGAUGAUUACCCACUGCACGAAAGCUAUGCUGACCCCUGUGAUGUUUCCAGAGGCAGGAAUCUUGGCUGUAGAAUCUGUGGUAGCAUAGGGACUACACUUGUGCUCUCCCUUG
rnacentral:snRNA from 1 species